UUUAGUUUGACUCCAUUUGGACUCAGAGCUCAGACUUCACCUGGACCUCACCUGGACCUCACCUGGACCUCACCUGGACCUCACCUGGACCUCACCUGGACCUCACCUGGACGUCCGCUGCAGGUUGUUGUUUUUCAAGUUCCCAAAAUGGAACCCAGGGACAAAUAUGGACACAGGAAGGCCGAGUCUCUGUCCAACCUGUCCCAGCGACCCAAACACAGGUUGAGUUUCAGUGGGAUUCCCUCCGUCAGCAUCAAACUGUUCAAGAGAAACAAACCUCGAGCCUUUAGUGCCUCGUCUCCUCACCCUCCUCCCCAGGCCCCGCCCCCCUUC